AUUGAACGCUGGCGGCAGGCCUAACACAUGCAAGUCGAGCGGAUGAAGGGAGCUUGCUCCUGGAUUCAGCGGCGGACGGGUGAGUAAUGCCUAGGAAACUGCCUGGUAGUGGGGGAUAACGUCCGGAAACGGGCGCUAAUACCGCAUACGUCCUGAGGGAGAAAGUGGGGGAUCUUCGAACCUCACGCUAUCAGAUGAGCCUAGGUCGGAUUAGCUAGUUGGUGGGGUAAAGGCCUACCAAGGCGACGAUCCGUAACUGGUCUGAGAGGAUGAUCAGUCACACUGGAACUGAGACACGGUCCAGACUCCUACGGGAGGCAGCAGUGGGGAAUAUUGGACAAUGGGCGAAAGCCUGAUCCAGCCAUGCCGCGUGUGUGAAGAAGGUCUUCGGAUUGUAAAGCACUUUAAGUUGGGAGGAAGGGCAGUAAGUUAAUACCUUGCUGUUUUGACGUUACCAACAGAAUAAGCACCGGCUAACUUCGUG
rnacentral:rRNA from 1 species